GGGCAAGGCUAUUUUGUUGGAGAUCCCUGUGUACCUGAGGUGUUCUAAAGAAAACCCUGGGAAGAAUGCAUUUAAAGAUGGCAAGGUUAGGGGAGAAAGACAUUUCCUUACUGUCUAUUUCAUCCAGUGGAAUCUGGCCGAAUAUCUGAAGAAACCUUUACAAGCAUCAUGCAGAAAAUCCUUGAGAACUCUAGAAACAUCGCUGAGAGUGAAGAGUGGGGAGAUCUCCUUCUGC